GGCCGCGGGAAUUCGAUUGGAUCGCCCUUAGAGUUUGAUCAUGGCUCAGAACGAACGCUGGCGGCGUGCUUAACACAUGCAAGUCAAGGAGAGGAUGCUUUCGGGCAUCGAUAAACUGGCGCACGGGUGAGUAACGCGUGAGAAAUCUACCCUUAAGAUUGGGACAACGUUCCGAAAGGAGCGCUAAUACCGGAUAAUGUACACGAUCGCAUGUUUGUGUAAGAAAGGCGGGGUAACCUGUCGCUUUUGGAUGAUCUCGCGUAUCAUUAGAUAGUUGGUGAGGUAACGGCUCACCAAGUCUACGAUGAUUAGCCGGCCUGAGAGGGUGGUCGGCCACAUAGGGACUGAGACACGGCCCUAACUCCUACGGGAGGCAGCAGUGGGGAAUUUUGCGCAAUGACCGUAAGGUUGACGCAGCGACGCCGCGUGUAUGACGAAGGUUUUCGGAUCGUAAAGUACUUUCAGCAGGGAAGAAUAUGCGUAGUAGUAACUGACUACGUACUGACGGUACCCGCAGAAGCAGCCCCGGCUAACUCCGUGCCAGCAGCCGCGGUAAUACGGAGGGGGCAAGCGUUGUUCGGAGUCACUGGGCGUAAAGCGCACGUAGGUGGAUGUGCAAGUCAGAAGUUAAAUGCGUCGGCUCAACCGGCGUACGGCUUUUGAAACUGCAUGUCUAGAGUAUCAGAGAGGAAUGCGGAAUUUCCGGUGUAGCGGUGAAAUGCGUAGAUAUCGGAAGGAACACCAGUAGCGAAGGCGGCAUUCUGGCU
rnacentral:rRNA from 2 species